UCCACGCUGUAAACGAUGUCGAUUUGGAGGUUGUUCCCUGAGGAGUGGCUUCCGGAGCUAACGCGUUAAAUCGACCGCUGGGGGGUACGGCCGCAAGGUUAAAACUCAAAUGAAUUGACGGGGGCCCGCACAAGCGGUGGAGCAUGUGGUUUAAUUCGAUGCAACGCGAAGAACCUUACCUACUCUUGACAUCCAGAGAAUUUAGCAGAGAUGCUUUAGUGCCUUCGGGAACUCUGAGACAGGUGCUGCAUGGCUGUCGUCAGCUCGUGUUGUGAAAUGUUGGGUUAAGUCCCGCAACGAGCGCAACCCUUAUCCUUUGUUGCCAGCACGUUAUGGUGGGAACUCAGAGGAGACUGCCGGUGAUAAACCGGAGGAAGGUGGGGAUGACGUCAAGUCAUCAUGGCCCUUACGAGUAGGGCUACACACGUGCUACAAUGGCGUAUACAAAGAGAAGCGACCUCGCGAGAGCAAGCGGAACUCAUAAAGUACGUCGUAGUCCGGAUUGGAGUCUGCAACUCGACUCCAUGAAGUCGGAAUCGCUAGUAAUCGUAGAUCAGAAUGCUACGGUGAAUACGUUCCCGGGCCUUGUACACACCGCCCGUCACACCAUGGGAGUGGGUUGCAAAAGAAGUAGGUAGCUUAACCUUCGGGAGGGCGCUUACCACUUUGUGAUUCAUGACUGGGGUGAAGUCGUAACAAGGUAACCA
rnacentral:rRNA from 1 species